AAUGAACGUUGGCGGCGUGGAUUAGGCAUGCAAGUCGAGCGACAAGGUCCGCAAGGACUGGAGGAGCGGCGAACGGGGUAGUAAGGCAUCGGAACGUACCCUCUCGUCUGGGAUAGCCGCGGGAAACUGCGAUUAAUACCGGAUAAUAUCGAGAGAUCAAAGGUCCGCCGCGAGGGGAGCGGCCGAUGUGAUAUCAGGUAGUUGGUGGGGUAACGGCCCACCAAGCCAUAGACGUCUAGGGGGCGUGAGAGCGCGACCCCCACCACUGGGACUGAGAUACUGCCCAGACACCUACGGGUGGCUGCAGUCGAGAAUCUUCGGCAAUGGGCGCAAGCCUGACCGAGCGACGCCGCGUGCGGGAUGAAGGCCCUUGGGUUGUAAACCGCUGUCGGGGGGGAUGAAACCGCAAGGUUGACAGAGCCCCGGAGGAAGCACGGGCUAAGUUCGUGCCAGCAGCCGCGGUAAUAC
rnacentral:rRNA from 1 species